GCUUGCUCCUUGAUUCAGCGGCGGACGGGUGAGUAAUGCCUAGGAAUCUGCCUGGUAGUGGGGGACAACGUUUCGAAAGGAACGCUAAUACCGCAUACGUCCUACGGGAGAAAGCAGGGGACCUUCGGGCCUUGCGCUAUCAGAUGAGCCUAGGUCGGAUUAGCUAGUUGGUGGGGUAAUGGCUCACCAAGGCGACGAUCCGUAACUGGUCUGAGAGGAUGAUCAGUCACACUGGAACUGAGACACGGUCCAGACUCCUACGGGAGGCAGCAGUGGGGAAUAUUGGACAAUGGGCGAAAGCCUGAUCCAGCCAUGCCGCGUGUGUGAAGAAGGUCUUCGGAUUGUAAAGCACUUUAAGUUGGGAGGAAGGGCAGUAAGUUAAUACCUUGCUGUUUUGACGUUACCGACAGAAUAAGCACCGGCUAACUCUGUGCCCAGCAGCCNCGGUAAUACAGAGGGUGCAAGCGUUAAUCGGAAUUACUGGGCNUAAAGCGCGCGUAGGUGGUUCGUUAAGUUGGAUGUGAAAGCCCCGGGCUCAACCUGGGAACUGCAUCCNNAACUGGCGAGCUAGAGUACGGUAGAGGGUGGUGGAAUUUCC
rnacentral:rRNA from 1 species